rnacentral:rRNA from 1 species
CUAUACUGUGAAACUGCGAAUGGCUCAUUAAAUCAGUUAUCGUUUAUUUGAUAGUACCUUACUACUUGGAUAACCGUGGUAAUUCUAGAGCUAAUACAUGCUAAAAACCCCGACUUCGGAAGGGGUGUAUUUAUUAGAUAAAAAACCAAUGCCCUUCGGGGCUCCUUGGUGAUUCAUGAUAACUUAACGAAUCGCAUGGCCUUGCGCCGGCGAUGGUUCAUUCAAAUUUCUGCCCUAUCAACUUUCGAUGGUAGGAUAGUGGCCUACCAUGGUAUCAACGGGUAACGGGGAAUUAGGGUUCUAUUCCGGAGAGGGAGCCUGAGAAACGGCUACCACAUCCAAGGAAGGCAGCAGGCGCGCAAAUUACCCAAUCCCGACACGGGGAGGUAGUGACAAUAAAUACUGAUACAGGGCUCUUUUGGGUCUUGUAAUUGGAAUGAGUACAAUUUAAAUACCUUAACGAGGAACAAUUGGAGGGCAAGUCUGGUGCCAGCAGCCGCGGUAAUUCCAGCUCCAAUAGCGUAUAUUAAAGUUGUUGCAGUUAAAAAGCUCGUAGUUGAACCUUGGGCCUGGCUGGCCGGUCCGCCUCACCGCGUGUACUGGUCCGGCCGGGCCUUUCCUUCUGGGGAUCCUCAUGCCCUUCACUGGGUGUGCUGGGGAACCAGGACUUUUACUUUGAAAAAAUUAGAGUGUUCAAAGCAGGCCUUUGCUCGAAUACAUUAGCAUGGAAUAAUAGAAUAGGACGUGCGGUCCUAUUUUGUUGGUUUCUAGGACCGCCGUAAUGAUUAAUAGGGAUAGUCGGGGGCAUCAGUAUUCAAUUGUCAGAGGUGAAAUUCUUGGAUUUAUUGAAGACUAACUACUGCGAAAGCAUUUGCCAAGGAUGUUUUCAUU